CGCCGUCUGCUCUCCCCCCCUCUCUCUCUCUCUCUCUCUCCCUGCGGCGGGCGAGACCCCGGCCGGCACCCUCUGCCUGGCAUGCCCGGCUCCCUUGGAGGAGUUUGAGGUGGCGGCUUCGCUGGUGGCAAGCCGCUGCCGUAGGAAGGGAAACCCAGGGCUAACCCCGCCCCCCACCCCACUCCCCAGCGGGUAGCCCACCAGGUUGAAAGGUUGUUGAAGUGGCCAGGUAAAAAUGAAGAAACGAUGCUGCUUCUUUCUCGAAGGGUUUCUGCCUUCAGAGCAUCUUCAGCGUUUGCCUCCCUUUUUAUUAUGAUGAAAAAAGUUAUCAAGUUUUGGAGUGGUGGGCAGAAGAGAAGAGGAGAAAAGAGAAACGACUCACGCAGAGAAAAUGAAAUAUAUUUAAAGGAUUAGAACAUAAGAGGUUUGUUAGCUCAGCUGAAUUUAAGGAGAGAGAAAGGAGGCGACAGGCUGAAGCAGUACUCUGAGGCCGUAGCCUGGCAGACGCACUUGGGAAGUGCAACUUUUUCUUCAAUCUUUGCAACUCUUCCAUAACACUUGACAGACAGAAAGCAAGGAUGGCAGGAUCACGCAAAAGCUGAUCAGCAAGGCUGCAACCUCAACAUUCUCUGCAUAUAUGUGUCGUACCACAAGCUGCAAUGGAAAAUAUUCCUGUCAUAAACUGUAGCAUGAAGCCCAGCGUCUGGACAUUUUCUGCAGGGAUUUGAUGAAGAUUAAGUAGAGAGCAGUUCCAAUGAGAUGAUGAACUGCAGAAGAGGCAAUUAAAUGUUCCACUGAUUAUGGUUAAUGGGGCUAAUUAGAGGAUGUAUUUUGAAAUCGAAAUGUCCAUGACAGUUGAGGGAAGGAGAAGAACAGAGGAAAUGCAGAGAAUAAAUAAAGUGUGUCAGUUGUUCAAGGCCUUUUCAACUCCUACAUCAGAGGUGGGUUUCAGCAGGUUCUGACCAGUUCUGGAGAACCGGUAGUGGAAAUUUUGAGUAGUUCGGAGAACUGGUAGUAAAAUUCUGACUGGCCCCGCCCCAUCUAUUCUCUGCCUCCCAUGUCCCAGCUGAUUGGGAGGAAAUGGAGAUUUUGCAGUAUCCUUCUCCUGGAGUGGGGUGGGAAUGGAGAUUUUACAGUAUCCUUCCCCUGCCAUGCCCCCUAAGCCAUGCCACGCCCAUCAAGCCACAUCCACAGAACUGGUAGUAAAAAAAUUUGAAACCCACCACUGUCCUACAUCCCCUGUUGGUCGUACUUUAUCCUGUUUUAUGCAAGGCCAAAAUUCCUUCCUGUCACAACUUUGCUACUCUCCAUCCCUUGGGUGCUUAAAAUUGUUUCUAUAUAAUUGUUAGGUCAAAGGCUUUAAAUCAGUCCCUGCCUUUCAGUCUAAUUUUCUGCACUAUUUUUUUUUUUUUAUGGAUAUUCUUUACAUGGGUACAUGUCUGUGGAGGAAGAUAUACACAAGGUUAGAGCUGUUAGAGCAAGGGUGUCAAACUCAAGACCUGUGGGCCAGAUCCGGCCGCAGGGUGCUUAGAUCUGGCCCCCAGGGCCGCCCUUCAAACAGCAAAGAACCGGCCCGCGGUGCCUCUGGCAGUGGACACUGUGCAGGGUGCUCCCGACCUCCAUUUUUGGCUGCAAUGUCUUCCUGCAGCCCUCUACCAGUGAAAAUGGAGCUUGCUGGCAGAGCGCUUGGGCUACCACAGGCAUCCCCGACAUGAAUGACGUCAAGCUGGCCACACCCACCCUGGCCACACCAUCCAGCUUUGCGAGGUCAAAUACAACCCUGAUGCAGCCCUCAGUGAAAUUGAGUUUGAUACCCCUGUGAUAGAGGAAAGCUGAGUCAGAAAUACAAAAAUAAACAAAUACACGUAGUCCUCGGUUUACACCAGUUUAUUUAGUGACCGUUCAAAGUUACAAGAGCUUUGAAAAAAGCGACUUAUGACCGUUCUUCACAGUUAUGUGAAGAACAGCAUGCCCAUGGUCACAUGAUCAGAAUUCAGAUGUUCGGCAACUGGUUUAUAUUUAUGACUGUUGCUCUUUCCCAAGGUCAUGUGAUCACCUUUUGCAACCUUCUGACAAGCAAAGUCAACGGGGAAGCCAGAGUCACUUAACAACCGGGUUACUAACUUAUCAACUGCAGUGAUUCACUUAACAACUGUGGCAAGAACAGUCGUAAAAUGGGGCAAAACUCACUUAUCAAAUGUUUCACUUAACAACAUAAAUUUUGGGCUCAAUUGUGGUCAUAAGUCGAGGACUACCUGUAUGUUAAAGUGUAACACCUAUAAUUUUGUAAUUAUUUCACCACUCUUUCAGAUCAGAUAAACUAGAGAAAAGAAGAAAAAUUAGUGGCAAGAAGAGGGAAGAUACACCUCUCAUUCUGGACCGUAAAGAGGUAGAAAGUACUAAAGAGAGCUAAGAGGGAAAAAUAUCUCAAUUUUAAUUUUAUUUGGGAGAUGGGGAAAACCCUCCAUAUUAUUUUUUAAAAGCAUUUUAUACAUAUUUCUCCGAAUAUAUAAAUAUGUAUAUAAUUUUGCCCAAUGGCACAUUUUUGCCAGUUUGCUGUCAAAUUAUUUUACCCACUUAUCUACUUUGCUAUUUAUCGCUAAUUUCCCUAAACAAGAAAAAGUUCUACAUUUGCAAAAGUAUACGAACUUCUCCUUGCCUAUGGGCAGUAUGCUAUAAAUGUUUAAAUAAAUCUAAUUUGGGAGUAAUUUGUCCUCAUGAGAUUAUUGCAUUGAUUCAAAUAUUAAUAUAUUUUAUAUGUCCAAUGAAAGAUGAUCCAGAAUUUAAGAUGCUGCUUUCCAAAUAAAAAAUAUU